AACGAACGCUGGCGGCAUGCCUAACACAUGCAAGUCGAACGAGACCUUCGGGUCUAGUGGCGCACGGGUGCGUAACGUGUGGGAACCUGCCCUUAGGUUCGGAAUAACUCCCCGAAAGGGGUGCUAAUACCGGAUAAGGUCUUCGGACCAAAGAUUUAUCGCCUUUGGAUGGGCCCGCGUUGGAUUAGCUAGUUGGUAGGGUAAAAGCCUACCAAGGCGAAGAUCCAUAGCUGGUCUGAGAGGAUGAGCAGCCACGCUGGGACUGAGACACGGCCCAAACACCGACGGGAGGCAGCAGGGGGGAAUCGUGCGCAAUGGGCGAAAGCCGGACGCAGCCAGGCCGCGGGAAUGAUGAAGGACUGAGGAUUGUAAAAUUCGCUCGCCGGGGACGAUAAGGACGGGAAACGGAGAAGAAGACACGGCUAACUUCGGG
rnacentral:rRNA from 1 species